rnacentral:rRNA from 3 species
GGACUACCGGGGUUUCUAAUCCCGUUCGCUACCCUAGCUUUCGUGCCUCAGCGUCAGAAGAGACCCAGUGAGUCGCUUUCGCCACUGGUGUUCCUUAGGAUAUCAACGCAUUUCACCGCUCCACCCUAAGUUCCACUCACCUCUAUCUCCCUCAAGCGACGCAGUUUUGAGCGCAGUUCCUCGGUUGAGCCGAGGGAUUUCACACCCAACUUGCGCCGCCGCCUACGCACCCUUUAAGCCCAGUGAUUCCGAAUAACGUUCGUACGGUUCGUCUUACCGCGGCUGCUGGCAC